rnacentral:rRNA from 1 species
CUACACUGUGAAAAUUUGGCUGAGAGACUCAGACUGGUCAUGGGUAGACCUAUCUGGGGUUUGAUCGAUGCCACUCCUGGUUUCAGGAGUACCCUUCAUAAUAAACCUAGAAAUUCAGUAUUAUAAAGUUUAAUAAAAAACAACUUUUAACAAUGGAUCUCUUGGUUCUCGCAUCGAUGAAGAACGUAGCAAAGUGCGAUAACUAGUGUGAAUUGCAUAUUCAGUGAAUCAUCGAGUCUUUGAACGCAGCUUGCACUCUAUGGUUUUUCUAUAGAGUACGCCUGCUUCAGUAUCAUCACAAACCCACACAUAACAUUUGUUUAUGUGGUAAUGGGUCGCAUCGCUGUUUUAUUACAGUGAGCACCUAAAAUGUGUGUGAUUUUCUGUCUGGCUUGCUAGGCAGGAAUAUUACGCUGGUCUCAGGAUCUUUUUCUUUGGUUCGCCCAGGAAGUAAAGUACAAGAGUAUAAUCCAGCAACUUUCAAACUAUGAUCUGAAGUCAGGUGGGAUUACCCGCUGAACUUAAGCAUAUCAAUAAGCGGAGGAAAGGGCGAUUUCUGAAAAUAU